UACGUAGGGGCCGAGCGUUGUCCGGAGUUAUUGGGCGUAAAGAGCUCGUAGGCGGUUUGUCGCGUCUGCUGUGAAAACGCGAGGCUCAACCUCGCGCCUGCAGUGGGUACGGGCAGACUAGAGUGCGGUAGGGGAGAUUGGAAUUCCUGGUGUAGCGGUGGGAUGCGCAGAUAUCAGGAGGAACACCGGUGGCGAAGGCGGCUCACUGGACUGGUAUUGACGCUGAGGAGCGAAAGCGUGGGGAGCGAACAGG
rnacentral:rRNA from 1 species